AAAAUUAACUUGUUUCCUUCAACUUCAGUAUAUUAUUGAACAUUUGAAUACAUCUUUAUGAGAAAAUAGUGUGCACCCAGCUAGCAGCUGCUGAGAAAUUCAAAUUUCAAGGUGAAGCUGUGUCAAAGUUCAAGGUGAAGCUGUCUCAAACAUUCAAGAAAACACACAGACUCCAACUGUACAAGAGGAGAGUGAAGAGGAAGAGGUUGAUGAAACAGGUGUAGAAGUUAAGGACAUAGAAUUGGUC
rnacentral:lncRNA from 1 species